UACANNAAGAAACACUGCUACGUGUAGCAGCUUGACGGUACUGUAAGAAUAAGGAUCGGCUAACUCCGUGCCAGCAGCCGCGGUAAUACGGAGGAUCCAAGCGUUAUCCGGAAUCAUUGGGUUUAAAGGGUCCGUAGGUGGAUAAUUAAGUCAGAGGUGAAAUCCUGCAGCUCAACUGUAGAAUUGCCUUUGAUACUGGUUAUCUUGAGUUAUUAUGAAGUAGUUAGAAUAUGUAGUGUAGCGGUGAAAUGCAUAGAUAUUACAUAGAAUACCAAUUGCGAAGGCAGAUUACUAAUAAUAUACUGACACUGAUGGACUA
rnacentral:rRNA from 1 species